GAUGAACGCUGGCGGCGUGCCUAAUACAUGCAAGUCGAGCGAACGGACGAGAAGCUUGCUUCUCUGACGUUAGCGGCGGACGGGUGAGUAACACGUGGAUAACCUACCUAUAAGACUGGGAUAACUUCGGGAAACCGGAGCUAAUACCGGAGAAUAUUUUGAACCGCAUGGUUCAAAAGUGAAAGACGGUCUUGCUGUCACUUAUAGAUGGAUCCGCGCUGCAUUAGCUAGUUGGUGAGGUAACGGCUUACCAAGGCAACGAUGCGUAGCCGGCCUGAGAGGGUGACCGGCGACCUUGGGCCUGAGAGACGGCCCAGAUUGGUACGUGACGCAGCGGGGGGGAAUCUUGCACAAGGGGCGGCAGCCGGAUGCAGAAACGCUGCGGGCGGGAUGACUGUCUUCGGGGUGAAAACCAUUUUCGCCAGUAACGAAGCCUGUGUGACGGUAACCAGUAAAGAAGCCCCGGCUAACUACGUG
rnacentral:rRNA from 1 species